CUGACAAACUGACUCACAACCUGAGCUACAAAUCUUCUCCAAAAUCUUAAAUCAAAAGUAAUGUGCAAUAUUUUAAAUUGGAAUCAGAAUUCAGCUAUUGUUUUGUCAUUUAAGAAAUUCUACUUGGAGAAAUGAGUUCCCAUGCAUUUACUUCAAUGAUCAGCUAACAAAAUCAAAAAGAGGUAUUGCUUUGAAACAAUAUCUCAGAAUAAAACUUUAAGAGCAACAAUGACAAUCAUGAUUGCAAGAACAGUAGGCAAAUAGGAACUGCAUCAUUUGCAAAUUCUCCUCUGAGUGCAGACUAUCCUGACUUCAAAAUCAAUGUCCAUCUUUCACUGUCACUGUUGUUGGCCAAAUUUCUGGAACUCUCAACUUAACACCACAUUGGGAGUAGCUUUAUCACAGGGAUUUCAGCUAUUCAAAAAAGCUGCUUACCAUCAUCACAAAGGGCAACUUAAGGAUGAGAAAUAACUUCUGGCCUUUUGAGUGAUGCCAAUUCUCAAGAACGUAUAAAUAAAUCCUUUAAUGAACCUUGUAAUGUCUGUGUCUUUUUAUUUUUAUGCUGUUCAGAAUUGUGGAUUAAUAAUUAAAAUACUGUUUUAAAACUAGUAUUUUAAAGGAUUGUUGCAUGUUUUGCAAAGCAAGUAACCUGAGACUUACUGCAAGUGUUGUGCAAAUGUCUGUUUGAACAAGCAAUAAUUGAAGUGAAUGCGGGCAAAUUAGAGCCAAGGGGUUCAUGGUACAGAUACAGAUGGGUGGCAACAAGAAGUUGAUUAGUUUCUGGACCAGUGACCAAUUAUCAAUGACAAAAUCCUUUCUCCUUCCAACAACUGUGUGAUUGGUUCUCAGGCUGGGAACAAGCUAGAUAGAAAGUGUUUUGAUCUCCACCUCAGACACUGUCUCUCUGUUCUCUUCAGUUAAGAACCAUUUUAAACCUGAAGAAAACUAAUUCAUCUUUUCUUCAGCAGUUGGUAAAAGCUGUGACUUUUAAUUGGAAGAAAGAAAAAUGAAUUUGGAACAACAAGCUGAAAGUCCCACUCCCAUCUCACUCUCUCAAAAGACUGUCCCCAGUGAAGAAGUGAAUUGUGGAAACAAUAAUUCCCCAAGGACAUCAAGACAUCUACAAACUUUAUUACUGCUGAGAAUACCAAUCAACAAUUAAACAACUCUAGUUUUAGGUUAAAAAUUGAGCACAGCAAGCAAUCUAAGGACUUUCAAACUGUAUAAAGUUUAUUAUUCUUGUCUGUACUAGAUACACACUCCUUUUUAAACUUACCACAUGU